rnacentral:rRNA from 1 species
UACGAAGGGUGCUAGCGUUGUUCGGAAUCACUGGGCGUAAAGCGCGCGUAGGCGGCUUCUCAAGUCAGGGGUGAAAUCCUUGGGCUCAACCCAAGAAUUGCCUUUGAAACUGUGAAGCUGGAGUACUGGAGGGGAUAGCGGAAUUCCUAAUGUAGAGGUGAAAUUCGUAGAUAUUAGGAGGAACACCGGUGGCGAAGGCGGCUAUCUGGACAGUAACUGACGCUGAGGCGCGAAAGUGUGGGGAUCAAACAGG